GAUGAACGCUGGCGGCGUGCCUAAUACAUGCAAGUCGAGCGAACAGAUGAGGAGCUUGCUCCUCUGACGUUAGCGGCGGACGGGUGAGUAACACGUGGAUAACCUACCUAUAAGACUGGAUAACUUCGGGAAACCGGAGCUAAUACCGGAUAAUAUAUUGAACCGCAUGGUUCAAUAGUGAAAGACGGUUUUGCUGUCACUUAUAGAUGGAUCCGCGCCGCAUUAGCUAGUUGGUAAGGUAACGGCUUACCAAGGCAACGAUGCGUAGCCGACCUGAGAGGGUGAUCGGCCACACUGGAACUGAGACACGGUCCAGACUCCUACGGGAGGCAGCAGUAGGGAAUCUUCCGCAAUGGGCGAAAGCUUGACGGAGCAACGCCGCGUGAGUGAUGAAGGUCUUCGGAUCGUAAAACUCUGUUAUUAGGGAAGAACAAAUGUGUAAGUAACUAUGCACGUCUUGACGGUACCUAAUCAGAAAGCCACGGCUAACUACGUG
rnacentral:rRNA from 1 species